GGUUGUGGUCCAGAUUGGCGGUUUCUGUUCCAUAUUUGAAGGGUGAUACACCAAGCUUACUUGGUGAAAUGUUCUUAAGAUUACGGAAAAUGUCAUCACGUCAAGAUUCAAUCAUGUGCAGGUUGGAUUGGUUGCAAAGUUGUAGGCUCAUUUGACUGUGGUGCUGCUACAGCUUAUUAUUUGGUGGCUAUGUGGAGUAGCAACUGGUGUUCACGAAGAAAUAUACAAUUCAUGGAUGCAUGCGUAUAUAGAUUCUUCUUCAAUGCUUAGCUUGGCUCCUUGCCGCACUUCGUCUCGCAUAGCAUCCAACAAAGUAUAUGAUAGACAAAACAGAAAAUAAUACGACAUUGAAUAUCGCAACAACUCUCCACUCAGUUUUCAUGUAUUGCGCCACGCCGGCCUUGCAAGAAUCACAACAAUAGCAUUUGAAAGCUCGAGAAUUUUUUGUACCGCUUGCAGUCAUGGUUAGGACUAACUGGAUGAAAGCUCAAGUCAUAGUAAGAUGCAUUUACAGCAGGAUAUCCACACUCAGAAGGCGGCCGACAGCAACUAGAUUCAAUUGGACUCAAAUCUUCAAUCUCUGCAAAAUAGGUGACUGCCCAAGCAAUGGCAGGAAAGCCAUCCAAAUUCAACCGGUUGCCAUGCAUUUUGCAGAUGAAUGCCAUCUUAGGCAUGCAACAUCAACAUGAGCAUUGCAUCUUGUUGUGGUUGAUGUGCUGCCAAUACUUACCUUGCUGUAGGAUUUUAUUAUCGACAUGGAUGAACUGCUGUCAUGCUGCAGAUUGUGUUGUUCUGCAAGCCUAAACCAGUACUUCAUGGCUUGUGCUUUGUAGGUUUGUGAUAGUGGUCAAGGCAUUUGCAAGGUUACUUGUGAGCGAAGCAACAAGGUGAAAGCACAAUCAACAUGUCUACUGGAUGAUUAAUCAAGGCAAAGUAACAUGGGAUUAUGUCCAAGUUUGGGAAAUCAGGGCUUCAGAAUUUUAGGGUUGACUUUGGUCAAAGUUGACCAAAAAGUCAACUGUUGACCAAAGUCAACAAAUGGUCCAAACUCAUUUUCUUGGCACUUUCUUUGUAAAUGGACAAUGUAUUGAUAAUCAUGGUGAAAUUUAGGGUAUUUGGAUUUUGGGUGACUUUGGUCAAAGUUGACCAAAAAGUCAACUGUUGGUCAAAGUGUCAAUUUUUGUGUAUUUUUGUAUGGAAUCAAAUGUAAUAAAAUUGAAAUGGAUUAACAAAAUGGUUUGAAGUUGGUUUCCAA